rnacentral:rRNA from 1 species
AGUGAACGCUGGCGGUAGGCCUAACACAUGCAAGUCGAACGGCAGCACAGUAAGAGCUUGCUCUUACGGGUGGCGAGUGGCGGACGGGUGAGGAAUACAUCGGAAUCUACUUUUUCGUGGGGGAUAACGUAGGGAAACUUACGCUAAUACCGCAUACGACCUACGGGUGAAAGCAGGGGAUCUUCGGACCUUGCGCGAUUGAAUGAGCCGAUGUCGGAUUAGCUAGUUGGCGGGGUAAAGGCCCACCAAGGCGACGAUCCGUAGCUGGUCUGAGAGGAUGAUCAGCCACACUGGAACUAAGACACGGUCCAGACUCCUACAGGAGGCAGCAGUGGGGAAUAUUGGACAAUGGGCGCAAGCCUGAUCCAGCCAUACCGCGUGGGUGAAGAAGGCCUUCGGGUUGUAAAGCCCUUUUGUUGGAAAAGAAGAGCAGCAGGUUAAUACCCCGCUGUUCUGACGGUACCCAAAGAAUAAGCACCGGCUAACUUCGUG